UGAGCUAAGAGCUCAUUUAAGGCAUGGCUUUGUGGAAGGGCUGAUCAGUCUGUUCUGUUUUGCGCAGACAGCAUGCCCUUGUGCCUCUUUUCAAACCUGGAAGAACAGCCUGACUGCUCAGGUCUGUUUGCAUUUCCUGCUGAGUUUCUGCAGUGCUGCACACGUGGUGGCCCUGAGCAGCCCCCUGCCCAGCUGGAUCUUUCACCCAAAAGAUUCGCGGAGGGCAUGCAUCACGGAGGGGAGAACCCUGUGGCACAGCUCGUGGAGCUCUGGAGAAGGAGGUCUUCUGGGAAGUCUGUGCUCGGCAAGAGCAGCACAACAAAUCUGGUGUCCCAAGGUGUUGAAGCGCACAGGCAGCCUUUGACAAGAAAAGGGAGCCAGGACAACAUAUAUAGGCGCAAUGUGAGUAGGGAGGACGCUGCACGGACACUGUGCUACAUCCAGGGAGUCCAGUAUCCAGGCAGAGUAGUUCCACUAUGCAAAGAGGAAUUUGAAGAUGACCCUUCCUACAAACCACUGCCGCCGCCGCCACCUCCUCCUUCUCCUUGCCUACAGGAGGACUAUGAUGAGGUUUCUUCAGAGAGAGAAUCCCCUCCCUUUGAAGGCCACAGCAAUCAAGACAGUGUUCUCUGAUAACCCUUCAUCAAACAACGGCUGAGGGAACCUGUCCUGACACUGACCCGCUCCUGUCUUGGCUCCUAUCUCAGCUCCUGUCUCACCUUGCGUUUGGGCCCCGUCCACUGUGCUUCCCUUGCCAGCCGCAGGGCAGGUGAAAGAAGCAGCCAGGCAGUUCUGCAGUCUCUAAAUGUUCAGGACAGGUAAAAAUCUCUGAGAUCUGAAAAUAAAAGAAGAGCUUCUCACCCUCCCA
rnacentral:lncRNA from 1 species